CUCCCGAGUAGCUGGGAUUACAGGCCUGCAUCACCAUGUCCAGAUGAGAAAACUGAGACACGGAGACAUUGAAGUGACUUGCCCACAGUCAAAGAAGUAAGAAAAGGCUGAGCUGGAAAUCAAACCCAGGCUCAUCUGCCUUUGGAGGCCUCAUUCUCAAAGACUGCCUCCUACACUCAGGAACAGUCUGAGUCCCAGACAAAUCAGGCCAGCUGUCACUCUACCUGGGAAGGAGAAUGCGGACCGCUCAGAGGAAGAUCAGUGUCAAAAUCAAGAUCAAACAGGUUGGUCUCAGGACAGAGCACAAGGGCUGGGCUGAGAAUGGACUGGAGGUGACAACUCUAUAUCUGCUAUCAUCUUUACUCUGAGUUGUCUGCAUAAGAAAAUUCCUCACCCACUAGUAAAGUAGAUUUCUGGCUUCUGAAUGACCAGGUGCAUGGAAUCAAAUGCAGAACGACAGUCAAAGGGGAAGAAUGCAUGCACAAGAAUCCUUGGGCAGCAUCAGCAGAAUUGAGGACAAGAAAGACGGGAGCCUUAUUUUGAAGGUCCUGCUCUUCCCCCCACAAUUAUAUCUACAAAUAAUGAUCUGAAAGAGACUGGUAGGACAGGUACAGGCCUCUUACAGCUAAUAGGAAAAACUGCUCUGCCACUGCUGUAACCCACAUGUAAGUGAUCACAAGCAGUUAAACACUGAGCCCCUGAAGUCCAAACUAACAACUUCCAACCUCACUUCAGUGGCCAGAGAUACAUAUGACAGUAGGAGAUGGUCGACAGCUCUGGAGGAGGAAGCACUAAGUCAUGGAGGAGGGUCUUCCACACAGCAAACAACCUAGAGUCACUUUGCCUACCCAAAGCAAGGGAAGUUUGAGGAACUGCUCCUGUCAUAGCACAGAGACAAUGACAUUUCUACAGCAGGCAUUCUGCAGGAAACUUACCAGAAGCUAUCAUUAUCUUUAUUAGAAAGUCACAACUCAGGCAUUUUACUGAUUUGGAAAAGAACUGGCAAAAACAGACAAACAAAACAAAGCAAAUAGGAAGAAAACAAGAAUAGCCAUGCAGACAAAAUUGACACAAGUCAUGCAAAUUGAGAAGGAAGUGAAUAUACGGCAUUUGGAAGCAUAAAGUGUAAGAAACAGAACAUGACCAGUCAACUGCAGAUCAGCAUGCGUGCUGUGAGCCAGGAACAGACACUGGGCAGGAAAGGAGGUAUCUGCAGACGUUGUAAAGCCCGUAUGUCUAAAGAAAAGAAUGAAGAACUAAACUUAACCAAGACAAACAAAACGCUGGCACCGCUGGCUGUGGUUUUCACCAAUGACUUGAUUCAAAGGAGUUGGUAUCAGAUCUCCAUUAUAGCUGAUGUCCAUUACAAUAAUGAUAAAAUGGUAAUUACUAGUGUUUAUAAUGCACUUACUAGAUACCAGCUCUUAUGCUAAAGUUUGACAUAGAUCAUCUUCUCUUAUCCUCACGAUAACUGCAUGAGUUAGCACUAGGAUUGCACUCAUUUUACAGUUGGAAAACCUGAGGACCAACGUCACACAGUGACUGACUGAUGAUACUGGGAUUCAAAUUCAGACAAUCUGGCCCCAAAGUCAGCUUUUUAACCACUGUGUGAUAGCUGGCUCAUUCCAUUAUGGUUAGUUUACACUUUGCCAGAAAAUUCUUUUUGUAAACUUUAUAAAAUUAUUUUAAAAUAUUAAAAAGUAUUCACAUCAGACUCAGGAACUCUAUAUCGUACUGCUUCCUCUUUCACUUUGAAACUCCAAACCAACAAGGAAGCAAAUGGUUCAGACACUAUAGGCCAAAAUUCCAGCAGUGGGGUAUGGCCAGCCCCAUCCAGAGCUGAGAUCCAUGUGUGCAUGUUUUGGGGGUGGAUGGGUAGUAUGGUGUGGAAAGGAGACAGUGCAUCAGCUGUCACCUUAGUUAGUCACAGCUUAAGGAGAAUAGAUGGUGGUAGCAAAGUUGAGCAUCACUUUCAGAAAGGUGGAGAGGUGGUAAGGGGUGCUCACAGCAUGAGAUGCACAGCAGGGCAAUGCUGCUUAAGUACCUAUCACAUACAGGUGAGCAAAUACAUGUUUUAUGAUGAGUAAAUCAAUGAGUGAACAAAAUGAAAUGACUGGUCUGAAUGUACUGAAGAUUCCAUAAUUUUAUGUAACUCUAGGGAAAGAAUAUGAGUGGUUAUGGGAUUGUGUUUUACUUUAUGAACUAAAAGAAAUAACUUUUAACAUUUUAAUAUUCCUUGAACCCUUCUUAGAUAUUGCAAUGCUCAGUCACUACUAAAAAGUAUAAAAUCUGAAGCUGAGCAGUGGUGGCUCAUGUCUGUAAUCCCAGUACUUUGGGAGGCUGAGGCAAGAGGACUGCUUGGGCCCAGGAGUUCGAGACCAGCCUGGGCAACAUAGUGAGACUCCCCCAUCUGUAUUUUUAAAUAAUAAAAAUUUUUAAAGUAUGGCAAUUAUUUGUAAUGAACACAUAAACUCUGAUCAAAGACAAAGACUAAAAGUAUGCUAAUCAAAUGGGCAUUAGAAGUUGUGACUGAGUUUCCUGGCAGCCAAGACAAAGAGGAGAACACAGCAAGUUGCACUCCUGUCUUACUAGAAAGGAGGAAGCACUGUAGUCCCUCAAAGAAGACAAAGUUAUUUUCUGAGCACUGAAUUCCCAAGUAACUUUCUCACAUAGAGUUAUACAUAGAAGCCGCUGGCAUUGUCCAUUCUUCCUUCUCAUGUUUCCAGUACAAUUAGGAGCAGGUUUCAUGAAAUCAUUACUUGCAGGAAAGCUAUAAACUGAGGAUCUAACAUUAAAAGACAACUCAGUGAACCCUAUUCUGUGAGCAUAGCAAGAUAAUGUAAUCCAAGUACAGCUUCUAGUCUGAUCGGAGGUUGGAAAUGAGACUGUCUAUAAAGAAAGGAAACAGAUGUUUGCUGAGCACCUAACAUAUGUCAUAUGCAUGAAAUAUUUUCUUCCUUUCGGCAUAUGUGUUACUAGUCUCAUUUGUAGAAGCUAAGCAACUUGCCCCAGCUUCACUGCUGUUUAAAGCAGAGUCCCAAGCUCAUGCACACUUUCCUAUAUCAUAUGUCCUCCUUUCUUUCACAAUUUUAUCAGGAAGAGUCAAUGGACAAUUUAGCCCCUUUCUUUGGGCAAUUUGAGGUUAUUCUCCCCAGUGAGGGCCUAGAGUGCUGGUGUUACAUACCUUAUGAAGAACAACUCAUUUUGUUCAAAAGCCAAAGGAUCAGUUAGUUGUGGGGUUGACUCAUAUCUCCAUGUUCAGAAAUCUUCAUGGCUCUUAUCUCAAAGGAAGUCCAUAGUAUUGACAGCUGUAAACUUCUCUGUUUAAAUGGCCUGGGAAAGGAUUAUUAUGCUCUCUUUUCAGUGAUCAGAAGAACUAGAGACUCCCCGUGGACGAGAUGUUUACACUGCGACCAAAGCAUGGGUAGGAACUGGGUGGUGGUAAGGGAGACUCAGAUGGACAGAGGGCUCCAGGCAGAUGAGAAAGAGCUGGAAGCUGCAGAAGGGAGGACAUGGCUGAAGUCUCCGGUAUGCAGCAGGGGAAGGGAAGGUGACAAGAGAGAGAUGGGCAGGUAAGCAGGGCCAGAUCAUAAAGACUCUCCGUUUAAUUCCUUCAUGCAGAGGUUCUGUACAUAGUAUAAAGCCUUCUGCUUCUCCAAAAAAGCAGGCACAAUGUGCAGGAAAAUCACUGUGAGAAAGACAGCAAGUCUGGGGCGCCCUCAAGAACAUCUGCACCUAGAUCUUAAGGAAGGUGAAUGGUAGUGAUGGGAACAGGGGUGUGGGGUCAGAAUUCCUCUUAAGCACUAUCUGGGGCUCCCAUAGUUGUUCUCAUCACAGCACCUCUCUCACCGCUUUGCAGUUGUCUCUGCCCCCACUGAACAGUAUGCCCUGCAGGACUCUCUUCAUAUUUCAUAUUUAGCUCAGCUUCCUGGCAGCCAAGACAAAGAGAACACAGUAAGUUGCACUCCUGUCUUACUAGAAAUGAGGAAGCACUGCAGUCCCUCAAAGAAGACAAAGUUAUAUUCUAGAUCUGGCAGGCCUAUGGGUAUCUUUUUUUUUUUCCUUUGCAAAGUGACUUUUGGUUUUUAAACAAGCUUUCAAAGAGAAAAAGGAUGAUGAGUAAAGCCUAACACAAGAAAUGUCAAUUAUUUUCUCUCUUGGUAACUUUCAUAUCUCAGUUCCUGUCUGGGGACUCUACAAAAUUUCCAUGCCAUCCUCUGUGACAGAAUCCCCACAAUCUGCCUGUGCCUCGCUGUGGCUCUCCGUCAUGCUCUUCCAGGUACUAUUUGGUCUCAUUUGCUGUGGCCACAAGUGGGACUUUGCUUCUACUCUUUCCUCCCUCCCAUCUCUUGUAUCUUAACACAAGUUCAGACCACUUGACCUGGGUGCACCUUCAUGCAAGAUUCUUUCCUCAAGCUGCCUUGUGUGUGAUAGGACCAUUUUUAUCAACUUAUUUCUCUCAGUUGGUCCGAGCAUCUUUCCAACACCUCCACAGUGGGUCUUACUCAAAAGGACCACAUUCCAGCUGCUGGAGUCCCCAUAGAGUUCUCCCAUUGGUUGCUAUAUGAAGAUGCUUCAUAACUGUGAGGUGUGAGACAGGGACAUGGCAGCACUACCAUUAAUGAAGUGACUUAUAGUGAUGUACACCCAUGCCAGGGCCAUUGGGCAUCUUAACCCUGGCCUAGUUUCAGACACAUAGGCACCAAGAGCCACCGAGCUAGUCUCUGCCAAUCCAAGUGCACAGUCUCAGACAAAGUACAGAAUCUAAGUUGAUCUCAUCUGGCAUGUACAGAGGGAAUUUUGUGCAUGAGUGGGUAUAAAACCAGGCCCUACCUUCCCAUCACCACUUAGGUUGGUCCCCACUCUGCUGCUGCUGCAGAAGGCCCAGAGGUGACAUCAGUCCAUUUUCUUCAAAUGGCCAGAAGGCUGUUGGCCUGGACAGCAGGAAGCAUGCACUUCGUGGAGAGAAUUUAAUUUAUGCCUAAAUGUUAAGUCAACAGCAACAUAUGGACAGACAUUUUUACUUAAACAACCAAUAGCAAUGUAACCUCUGCAUAAAAACAGAGUGGGCCCCGGAAGGAACCGCUCCCUUGUGUAACUGUUCAGUGUCUAAUGAAGGCCGUGUUCAUAUUCUUUUUUUUUUUUUUUUCUUGAGACAGAGUCUUGCUCUGUCGCCCAAGAUGGAUUGCAGUGGCAUGAUUGUGGCUCACUACAACCUCCGCCUCCUGGGUUCAAGCAAUUCUCCUGCCUCAGCCUCCCAAGUAGCUGGGAUUACAGGUGCCCGCCACCACACCCAGCUAAUUGUUUGUAUUUGUAGCAGUGACUCUACUUGCAUGUGUGGGGACCUUUAUCAAUCAGGGAUUGGGGGCUACUCAUGGAAAGCAAAGACUUUGGGCACAGCAAACAGACCACAUUCAGUCCAUAACCCAGGCUGGUCUGGUUAGCAUAUGGUAAGUUUGGUAAUGAAUUGUAAAGAAAGCUCUCACCACUUUCUGAUGUUCAGAAAGCUGAACAUCAAACAAGCACAAAUCAAUUCACCAUGUGCUAUAUAGUUUCAGGAUUCUCCAGCCUGGGGAACCAGCAUUUCAGUGUUCAAAUAAGGCAUAAAAUGUGCUCAAGUAGACUGACCUGGUCAUAUUGGGAAGCCAUGUAACUCUUUCAAGAAAGCCCUGUAACCUGAGACUGGAGGUCCAGAAAGUCUGGACCUGUCCUCCAGUGAUGACAAUUCAGUUAAAAAGGCACAUAAAUUAACAAGCAAAAUAUUUGAGUAACUGCGUGAAGGCAGUGAAAAACUGUCAUAAUUCUAAAACUGAAGAUGAUAAAGGAUCAAAGGAAGAAGUGUGCGCUCUUGGCUCCACCUCAAGUCAAGACUGUUUUGCUCUGCAUUUUCCUUUUUCUUCCAACCCCUAUUCCCACCAGGAUCAAUAGGUCAGGUGCAGGAAGGUCUGUGACUUUUUUUCAUCACUGCAUGAAAAUCUGUCAGACUCACGGUAGUGGACUCAGGUGAGUCUGCCAUCCAGCAAGACCCUCUUCAGCUCUGCGAUGGAAGUACAGUGGAGAGUCCCUCCCCUCGCUCUCAGAGACUUUCACUUUCACUCCAGCUCACAAGAUUCUGCGGAAACUGGAAGCAUAGCUCAUCAAAAAAAGCUGGGGCCCCUUUCCUGGGUCACAUUCUGGGGCAGUGUCUUGCUAUUUCACCAAGUGCCAGUUCUAGUGUCCUUCCUAAGCUAUGGCCUGGCUCCCUGAGGACAGUCUCAAUAACAGCCUCCAAAAAAUUGAGCUACAGAGUGAAUCAUGAGUUAAUAUUUGUGUUCUAGUCCCAGGUGACCUUAUAUUCCACGCUUUUGGUGAUCAUCUACUUCAGGAGUUCUCAAUUAGAGAAGAUAUUACCCUCACCCCCAUCCCCAAGGAACACUUGGCUGUAUGUAAAGACAGUUUUAUUUGUCACAACUGGUAGUGGUAGGGGGGUGUUACCAUCUCCUAGUAGGUAGAGGCCAAGGAUUCUGCUAAACAUCCUAUAAUCCACAGGACAGGCCCCACAACAAAAAACUAUCCAACCCAAAAUGUUAAUCGUAUCUAGGUUGAGAAAACAUUAAAACCACAGAUUGUCAGCUUUCCUGAAAUAACUCCCAGUUCCACAGGUCUUCCCAAUAGAGGUAAGUUUCUUUGAUAUAUUGGUAAGCCAGUUCCUAUAGUUACACCUGGACACAGGAUGCUGGAGAGGGGAUUGGAAGUCCUAUGACUGAGUCGGGGGCUCUCCCCCAUCAGAGGACUCAGCUUAUGGUCUGAAUGCUAGUUCAUGUGACACUUAUAAAUGCAUCCUACUAUAGCCCAGUCCUUCAGGGUAACAAACUUGUAGAUAGCAUGGGUAAUGACAAGGGCUCCUCUUUAUUUCAUUAUGUCUUUAUUAUUAUUUUUUCAUUAAGUAAUACUAAAUCACAUCAUCUCCUUGUUUUUGUUGGCUGAAACAUUCAUUCAGCCAACAAAUAUUUAUUGUGUGUCCAGUUAAGUCCAAGCACUGUGCUCUGUACUAAAUGGCUGAUAACUGUCUGCUGGGGCUAGUGAACACAGACCACAGUACCUACAGCAGGAGUUCUUCCUUGGGUGAAGAUGAAAGUGGGGGGUGCUUGUUGAAAUGCAGGAUCCUGGGCCUUCCUCCGGAGAUUCUGAUUUUGUAAGGAUGGUGCCAAGAAAUCUGCAUUUUUAGCCAGCACUUGAUGUAAGUCUGAUAUAGGUUAUCUAUGGGACCAUGCUUUAAGAAACAUUGGUAAAAAUCAUGAAAUUUGCUCAAUCAAAUCCCAGGCCUGAGUAUAUGCAGUCUUGAGCUGUAGUGUGGUAAUUUCCUAUAUCUGUGAAAAAAAAUCAUUUAACUAUUAAUUGUCUCAACUUUCUCAUUUUUUAAACCAAAGGAGUGUAAGACCCUAAUAACCUGUGUUCAAACACAGGUGGAGAGAGGGCAGAAUGACCUCAUUUAUGUAGAAGCAGGACACUUUCAAAGGAACAGAACCGUAUAAUUUGUAUGACAUAGAUUGAGCAUUAGCCAAGUACAUUUGUAUCAAUGAUAGGAGGAAAAUCUCUUGCUUAUGUAAGAGGUACGAACACUAUCUUUUCUCUGAACUGACCUCAGCAUACAAUCAUUCAUAGCUUGAUUAGGGAACGCUAAUCUCCCCUGGUUAUCAAGAUAAAUGGCUUCUCUGAUUACUGUUUUCUUUCAAAUCCUUUCUCAGACCUACAUCAUUAAUGUUCCGCUUGUGACUUUUCAAUGGAGCACUUAUUUUAGCAGCACACUUAACCCCUUUAGGGGUUCAAAUCUAAAACUUGCUCAAGCAAAAUUCUUCCAAGCUGUUAGAAACACCUUAAUACUUAUCUAUGUCUAAUAUCAAGGAAGUUAUCUCAUAUAUGGCCGAGAUACAUAAAUGUAGGCACUAGUUUUCAGCCCAAUUGCUCUGCCGUGAAUUACUGUGACCAAUUUAGCAAUAGAAGAAAUCAAUAUAAAGAACUUUAUAACGAAUAUAUAGAUUAAACUUAAUGUAUCACUAUCAUCAUUAGAAGGACAGGGUAAGGAUUAAAGGACAGACUAUCUCAGAAAAUAUGCCAGUCUCCCUUAAAAUAAUAAUAAAUACAUCUGUUUUCCAACUCAUCUAAGAAUUCCCUCCCAUUCUGUUCCUUUAAUUAUAUCUUUAUUAUGUAAGGUCUUUAUUAUACUUUAGUACUUUUUUAUGUUCCUGUCUUGUUUUUGUUGUCUACUUUUUGCUACAAAUAAUACACCUUGACUCCUGGGCUCACAAAACAGAACACCCAUUGAAUUUACUUACAGAUUGAGCACCUCAAAAGACUCUAGUCUUUGUGCUCCUGUUCAGAACCAUUCGAAAUAUGGAUGAGUUUCCAAACAGGAAGGAAAUGGAAUAUGCUAAAAACUCACAGUUUUGUGUGUAAUCUGUAGCCUUAAAUCAUCCGAAGUACCCCAGAUCCCGUACACCAAGGAGUUCCAUCCCACUGUUUUGUCCAAAUGAAAGAGAACCCCCUCCCAGCAUUUUAGAACUUGGACCUGGCAUGCCAACUUAAAUGCAAAUGGUCCCUCAAACUCAGAUUUGCCGCGAGAUCCAUUUUUAAGUAGACUAUGCUCCCUGCAGACCAACAUGCAAAUGGUGCUCGAGUAUACGUAAGAAUCACAGAGGCAACAAAGAAAAGACACCAACCAUACCUA